rnacentral:rRNA from 1 species
GUGGGGAAUAUUGGACAAUGGGCGAAAGCCUGAUCCAGCCAUGCCGCGUGUGUGAAGAAGGUCUUCGGAUUGUAAAGCACUUUAAGUUGGGAGGAAGGGCAGUAAGUUAAUACCUUGCUGUUUUGACGUUACCGACAGAAUAAGCACCGGCUAACUUCGUGCCAGCAGCCGCGGUAAUACGAAGGGUGCAAGCGUUAAUCGGAAUUACUGGGCGUAAAGCGCGCGUAGGUGGUUUUGUAAGUUGGAGGUGAAAUCCCCGGGCUCAACCUGGGAACUGCCUCCAAAACUGAAUGACUAGAGUACGGUAGAGGGUAGUGGAAUUUCCUGUGUAGCGGUGAAAUGCGUAGAUAUAGGAAGGAACACCAGUGGCGAAGGCGACUACCUGGACUGAUACUGACACUGAGGUGCGAAAGCGUGGGGAGCAAACAGGAUUAGAUACCCGAGUAGUCC